CCCGUCUGUUUACUUCCACCUCACAUUAUAACCUAAUCGCAGUUUAUGAAAAAAGCGUAAGUUCGCUAUCGCAAUCACGCUCAGUUUCCGACUCCUCAAAACGUAUAAAAGUGAAGAGUCUGGUGGAGAAAUUCUUUAAAAUAUUUGAGAGCAGAAUGGCCGUGUCUAAGUUUUGGGGCUUUUUUAUUGCUUGUGUUUUUCUUUCGUUGGUGGUCGCCUGCUAUUCAGACGAUGUCGAUGACACUGAUGCUGGGGCAUCCAUGAGAGAAACACGGCGAGUUGGUGAAAAUACUGUCCGAGUUCUUCUGUCAGCCAGGGACGAUUCAAUGUACAACACAAACAGAGUCCGCCAGAAAAGACCGUGUGGUUUCUGGAGGCGGAUCAGGGGAAGAUGUUAAAAGUUUACAUCUAUGAUGUACAUAGAAGAGCUGGGGCGGAUCAUUCAUAUAAGACUUCUUGUCACGAAGUUUUCCUCAUUAUGACUAAUCAACACCAGAUUCCUUUUCAUCUUUCAUGUGGAAAAAAAAACCCCGAAUACAAAUUAAAUUCUAUUGUGUUGGUAAUUUGCAACAAUCGUGAAGACACCCAAGAUAAGGAAUGCAGAGAACACCUGUGAUUUGAUAAAACUAAAAAAUAAAAAUAUUGUCAUAGCGUACACAUGAGUGUAAAAUGUAUGCCAAGAAUACUGCAAUAUACAGAAAUUUUGAACUGAAGCAGAACUAGACCAGUUCAUUUGUGAUUUACUAUAUACUCCCUGUGGAUAUAGUUUAUACGACUGUAUGAAAGGGGAUCAAAUUCUCAAAUCUAGAUGUUAAUGCAAAAAUAUAUUCAUUUAUUCAUUUUCCUGAACUCUUUAUCCAAAAAGACUUACAAACAUCUUUGAAUUGAUCUAUACAUUUGAUUAUUGUUUAUUUAGUAUAUAUUUUUUAAAAUGUAUAUUAGAUGCGCGAUUUUGCAAUACUUAAUAAACACAUGUACUUCGAAUUAGUGCCGUUCUAAGACAUUGCUGAUAAAACAAUGUAAAAUUUUUAAAAUUAUUUUUCUGUGUAUAGUCAAUGUCACCUUAAAAAUAAAUUAUAAAAUCAAAAUGUAUCUUUUCUUUCAAGAAUACCAAAGGUUGUUCAUAUUUACCGACCGUGAUAUGUAUUUUUCGUUCAAAUGAAUGGACUGAGAAAUGAUGAAAUAACCAUAUAUGUGGACAUUCCAUGUUUACAUUUUACAGAAUUUUACAAAUAUAAGCAUAAGUGCAACUGUGACCAGCUGAUAAGCUUAUGUUAUUUUUGCCUGCACUAGUUACCUAUAGAGUGUAGUAAGCAGCGACUGCGAAGCGGGAAUUUACAUGGGCUGGUCAGAAAUUUGCACUUUGCCACGAGGGCAACAAGAUCUGCCAGUGCGUGUCCGGAGAGAGGUUCUCCACAGCGGGCUAAGAAUGAUGGCUUAUGCCAGGCAAGCAGGACUUUAUGGAACCAACAUCAGGCGCAGUCGCAGACGGCAUUGUCCUAGUUGGAUAAAGAGAAUUCUUAGAAGAUGUUGACUGGAUAUUAAAACAACACCGAGUUAGUUGUAUCUUAUCAAUUUAGACGAAGAGAAAAUGCCAGGAACGCAUUUAAAAACUGAUAUAAAUGUCCUUGAACAUUUUUGGUCUUGAUUUCAGUAAUUUGUUGGUUUAAACUUAAAUACGCCUUUUAUACUUUUCUACAUGUAAUCACCGCACAUAUGUUUUUAUUAUUUAUUUUAAACAAACAUUAAUUGAUGCUUGAAGUAUGCUUUACAUAAAUAAAUAAA